rnacentral:rRNA from 1 species
UGAGGAAUAUUGGGCAAUGCCCGAAAGGGUGACCCAGCAACGCCGCGUGGAGGAUGAAGGUCGUAAGAUUGUAAACUCCUGUUAGAGGGGAAGAAUAACUAAGUUUGGAGCUUAGUAUGACUGUACCCUCAGAGAAAGCCCCGGCUAACUACGUGCCAGCAGCCGCGGUAAUACGUAGGGGGCAAGCGUUGUCCGGAUUUACUGGGUGUAAAGGGCGCGCAGGCGGAAUGGAAAGUCAGUGGUGAAAUCCUACAGCUUAACUGUAGGACUGCCUUUGAUACUUUCAUUCUUGAGUUCGGGAGAGAGAGAUGGAAUUCCAGGUGUAGUGGUGAAAUACGUAGAUAUCUGGAAGAACACCAGUUGCGAAGGCGGUCUCUUGGUCCGAUACUGACGCUGAGGCGCGAAAGCGUGGGGAGCAAACA